CCUACGGGGGGCUGCAGUCGAGAAUCUUCCGCAAUGGGCGCAAGCCUGACGGAGCGACACCGCGUACAGGAUGAAGGCCUUCGGGUUGUAAACUGUUGUCACGCUAUAGGAACGACUGCACGUUAACAGCGUGCAGUUUGACCAAAGCGAGAGGAAGCACCGGCUAACUCUGUGCCAGCAGCCGCGGUAAGACAGAGGGUGCAAACGUUGUUCGGAAUCACUGGGCAUAAAGCGCACGUAGGCGGUUUUCUAAGUCAGGUGUGAAAGCCCCCGGC
rnacentral:rRNA from 1 species